UACCCAGCAGCUCCUAUCCCUACCUCUUCGUGGAACUGGCUGGGAUACGAGUAACCUUAGGGAAGAUCGGGUAACUAUCCCCAGUGGGAUCUUUGGUCGUAUGCUGCCAGGGAAGG
rnacentral:ribozyme from 1 species